GACGAACGCUGGCGGCGUGCUUAACACAUGCAAGUCGAACGGAAAUGCCCUGCUUUUGUGGGGUGCUCGAGUGGCGAACGGGUGAGUAACCUGCGCUUAACCUUCCGUUAACUUUAGGAAACCGUCGUUAAUAUUGGCUUGGUGCUUGAUCUGCAUGUCUGCUGCUUGAUAGUUUUUGCGAAGUUUCGGGGGUUGGGGAUUUACUCGCGUCUUAUCAGCUUGUUGGUGGGGUAGUGGCUUACCAAGGCUUUGGCGGGUAGCCGGCCUGAGUGGGUGACCGGCCACAUUGGGACUGAGAUACGGCACAGACUCCUACGGGAGGCAGCAGUGGGGAAUAUUGCACAAUGGGCGGAAGCCUGAUGCAGCAACGCCGCGUGCGGGAUGACGGCCUUCGGGUUGUAAACCGCUUUCGCCUGUGACGAAGCGUGAGUGACGGUAAUGGGUAAAGAAGCACCGGCUAACUACGUG
rnacentral:rRNA from 1 species